UCCCAGUCACUCCCAGUCACUCCCAGUGACCCCAAACCUGCUCCCAGUCCAUCCCAGUCACUCCCAUGCCCCCCAAACCCCCUCCCAGUCCAUCCCAGUCCAUCCCAGUCUCACCAGUUGCGCUCGGUCAGCAGGCUGUGGGAUAACUGGGAGCGGGCGGCCGCCAGGACCCUCCCAGUGACCCCCAAACCCCCUCCCAGUCCAUCCCAGUCCAUCCCAGUCACUCACAGUGACCCCAAACCCCCUCCCAGUCCAUCCCAGUCACUCCCAGUGACCCCAGACCCCCUCCCAGUCCAUCCCAGUCCAUCCCAGUCUCACCAGUUGCGCUCGGUCAGCAGGCUGUGGGAUAACUGGGAGCGGGCGGCCGCCAGGACCCUCCCAGUGCCCCCCAAACCCCCUCCCAGUCCAUCCCAGUCCAUCCCAGUCACUCCCAGUUCCAUCCCAGUCCAUCCCAGUCACUCCCAGUCACUCCCAGUGUCCCCAAACCUGCUCCCAG